GACGAACCGUCCAAACGUUAUUCGGAAUCACUGGGCUUUACAGAGUUCGUAGGCGGUCUGGAAAGUUGGGUGUGAAAUCCCUCGGCUCAACCGAGGAACUGCGCUCAAAACUACCCGACUCGAGGGAGAUAGAGGAAAGCGGAACUGAUGGUGGAGCGGUGAAAUGCGUUUGAUAUCAUCAGGAACACCGGUGGCGAAGGCGGCUUUUCUGGGUCUUACCUGACGCUGAGAAACGAAAGCUAGGGGAGCGAACGGG
rnacentral:rRNA from 1 species